GUCGAGCGGAUGAAAGGAGCUUGCUCCUGGAUUCAGCGGCGGACGGGUGAGUAAUGCCUAGGAAUCUGCCUGGUAGUGGGGGACAACGUUUCGAAAGGAACGCUAAUACCGCAUACGUCCUACGGGAGAAAGCAGGGGACCUUCGGGCCUUGCGCUAUCAGAUGAGCCUAGGUCGGAUUAGCUAGUUGGUGAGGUAAUGGCUCACCAAGGCGACGAUCCGUAACUGGUCUGAGAGGAUGAUCAGUCACACUGGAACUGAGACACGGUCCAGACUCCUACGGGAGGCAGCAGUGGGGAAUAUUGGACAAUGGGCGAAAGCCUGAUCCAGCCAUGCCGCGUGUGUGAAGAAGGUCUUCGGAUUGUAAAGCACUUUAAGUUGGGAGGAAGGGUUGUAGAUUAAUACUCUGCAAUUUUGACGUUACCGACAGAAUAAGCACCGGCUAACUCUGUGCCAGCAGCCGCGGUAAUACAGAGGGUGCAAGCGUUAAUCGGAAUUACUGGGCGUAAAGCGCGCGUAGGUGGUUUGUUAAGUUGGAUGUGAAAUCCCCGGGCUCAACCUGGGAACUGCAUCCAAAACUGGCAAGCUAGAGUAUGGUAGAGGGUGGUGGAAUUUCCUGUGUAGCGGUGAAAUGCGUAGAUAUAGGAAGGAACACCAGUGGCGAAGGCGACCACCUGGACUGAUACUGACACUGAGGUGCGAAAGCGUGGGGAGCAAACAGGAUUAGAUACCCUGGUAGUCCACGCCGUAAACGAUGUCAACUAGCCGUUGGGAGCCUUGAGCUCUUAGUGGCGCAGCUAACGCAUUAAGUUGACCGCCUGGGGAGUACGGCCGCAAGGUUAAAACUCAAAUGAAUUGACGGGGGCCCGCACAAGCGGUGGAGCAUGUGGUUUAAUUC
rnacentral:rRNA from 1 species